GUUUCUCUCUCUCUCUAAUUCACUAUUGACUUCUUUUUCCCCAAAUGCACAAAAUAGGAAAACACUUCCCCCAAAUCAGAAUUUCAAUCGCCUCCCCCCUUCACACCUUGCUGCCGUCGACCAGCCGCCCACCGGCGCCGCCGCCGACUCCGAUGAUGUUUCCUUCUCCUCGUCUCUCUCUCUCUUUCCUCUCUUUCUCGUCUCUCCCUCCCUCUCUUUCUCUCUCUUCACCAUACCGCUACCGCCGCCCAGCUUCCCCUCCAUCACCUUUUUCCUCUCCCUCGGCUCCCUCUUUCACUCGGAUCUGCCGCCGACGCCGAUCUUCGACAGGCUGUAACGAAUAAAACUUAGUGACGGAUUUUGGAGUGUGGGCUUUCAUCGUUGGCGACGGGGUGCCGAGCUCGCUGCCGGAAGUCCCUCCGGCAACUCCUAUGUUAUUUCAAAAAAAAAAAACCCGGUUCAGGCUCUUGGCUUUGGUGUAGGAAAACAAAUAACAUCCACAGUUAUCCCUGAUGAUGCACCGGACUUUCUUGAAGUACGAGCACGAUCGUUGAAUGGGCUGCGUGAACUUUUCCCUAAUUGUAAUAGAUACGGAUUUCAUAAAUUUGUAUAAUAGUACUUUAGCGGACUUCGAAAAUACGCCAGACAUUAUAAACUUUUACUUGUUUUUUUUUUGUAGUUGCA